rfam:Cajanus cajan chromosome 11, whole genome shotgun sequence.
AGUCUGUGAUGACGAUUUUUUGUGCCGGAGGCGAGUCGUUUGUUCUGCUCGUCUGUGACGGCUCACAUAUCCUCUAAGAAGUUCUGAGCUC